CUCCCACAACAAUCCAUCGCCGAAGUACCGAUUAGCUCGUCUUCUCUCCUCUCGAAUCUCAGCCAGGAAGCGAGCACGAUUUUGGAGUGGAUGUCGACGGCGUGCUGCCGAGCCGAACGGAGACUCCGCCGGAGCAUCUUCGGGUCGGGUAGAGCAUCUUCGGGUCAGGUAGCCCGCGGAAGACGGCGGACUGUUCCAGAUAGAGUCCGGAUUUCUCCGCCUCGGAGCAAUCCUCAAUCCUACGGUACAUAUCGGAUAGGGUUUCGACCAUGUCCAGCGGCUUCAGCCAUGGCUCGAUCUGUGGCUCGAGGAGAUCCGUCUCCGGUAAGCCUCGAGAUAGCAGAUUUUCAACGGCGACGUCAGGCGUGUCCUGGAUGAGUUUAUAAACUUCCAUAGACCUCUCUUCGCCGCCGCAGCUCGGAACCCCUCCGCCGCCAGAGCCGCCUUUAGACGAAUUGAAAGCAUAAACCUGAGA
rnacentral:lncRNA from 1 species